rnacentral:rRNA from 1 species
AUUGAACGCUGGCGGAAUGCUUUACACAUGCAAGUCGAACGGCAGCACGGGGGCGACCCUGGUGGCGAGUGGCGAACGGGUGAGUAACACAUCGGAACGUACCUCAUUGUGGGGGAUAGCCCGGCGAAAGCCGGAUUAAUACCGCAUAAGACCUGAGGGAGAAAGCGGGGACCGGAAACGGCCUCGCGCGAUGAGAGCGGCCGAUGUCCGAUUAGCUAGUUGGUGGGGUAAAGGCCCACCAAGGCGACGAUCGGUAGCUGGUCUGAGAGGACGACCAGCCACACUGGGACUGAGACACGGCCCAGACUCCUACGGGAGGCAGCAGUGGGGAAUUUUGGACAAUGGGGGCAACCCUGAUCCAGCCAUUCCGCGUGAGUGAAGAAGGCCUGG